rnacentral:lncRNA from 1 species
CUCCACUGUGAGACAAACCCCAGCCACAUCUCCAGCACACAAGAACUUCUAAACGCCUGAACUGCAGUGGCCAGGCGUUCCUCUAGAACCUCCUCCCACAGGAGCUUGCUACAAGUGCCAGAAAUCUGACCACCAAGCCAAGGAAUGCCCACAGCCCAGGGUUCCUCCUAAGCUGCGUCCCAUCUGUGUGGGACCCCACUGAAAAUCGGACUGUUCAACUCACCUGGCAGCCACUCCCAGAGGCCCUGGAACUCUGGCCCAAGGCUCUCUGACUGACUCCUUCCCAGAUCUUCUCGGCUUAGCGGCUGAAGACUGACACUGCCCAAUCGCCUCGGAAGCCCCCAGACCAUCACGGACGCCGAGCUUCGGGUAACUCUCACAGUGGAAGGUUCCCACGCCGACCCUAAUGCCGCUUGAAGCAGCCCUGAGAAACAUCGCCCAUUCUCUCUCUCCAUAUCACCCCCCAAAAAUUUUUGCCACCCCAACACUUCAACACUAUUUUGUUUUAUUUUUCUUAUUAAUAUAAGAAGGCAGGAAUGUCAGGCCUCUGAGCCCAAGCCAAGCCAUCGCAUCCCCUGUGACUUGCACGUAUACGCCCAGAUGGCCUGAAGUAACUGAAGAAUCACAAAAGAAGUGAAUAUGCCCUGCCUCACCUUAGCUGAUGACAUUCUACCACAAAAGAAGUGUAAAUGGCCAGUCCUUGCCUUAAGUGAUGACAUUACCUUGUGAAAGUCCUUUCCCUGGCUCAUCCUGGCUCAAAAAGCACCCCCACUGAGCACCUUGCCACCCCCACUCCUGCCCGCCAGAGAACAAACCCUCUUUGACUGUAAUUUUCCUUUACCUUCCCAAAUCCUAUAAAACGGCCCCACCCUUAUCUCCCUUCGCUGACUCUCUUUUCAGACUCAGCCCGCCUGCACCCAGGUGAUUAAAAGCUUUAUUGCUCACACAAAGCCUGUUUGGUGGUCUCUUCACAGGGACGCGCAUGAAACCCGCCACCACGCCCGGCUAAUUUUUUGUAUUUUUAGUAGAGAAGGGGUUUCACCAUGUUAGCCAAGAUGGUCUCAAUCUCCUGACCUUGUGAUCCACCCUCCUCAGCCUCCCAAAGUGCUGGGAUCACAGGCGUGAGCCACCGUGCCCGGCCGUAAGUAGUAAUUUGAAUGAUUUCUACGUCAAAGAUAUGGCUACAGGCCAAGAAAAUACAGUGGUGGGUUAACAGACACAGUCUUGGCCCUAAAAAGGUUUACAGUCUAGUGGGAGAAGUAGCCUCAAAUAAGGGACUAGACAAAUACAUAUACCAUAUUUAUUUUUAUAUUAAAUUAUAAAAGGAAAUGACUAAGAAUCUGAUCUCAGAUUUAAAAAAAAAAAAUCUGUCUCCACAAAAUUGUUUAUGUUGUGUGAUGUCCCAUUCCUUUUGCUCAUCUAUGUAAAUAUUAUCCAAUUUCUUUUGUUUAUACAUCCUAUCACAUUGCCCUACACUUAGUAGAC